AGUGAACGCUGGCGGUAGGCCUAACACAUGCAAGUCGAACGGCAGCACGGUAAGAGCUUGCUCUUACGGGUGGCGAGUGGCGGACGGGUGAGGAAUACAUCGGAAUCUACUUUUUCGUGGGGGAUAACGUAGGGAAACUUACGCUAAUACCGCAUACGACCUACGGGUGAAAGCAGGGGAUCUUCGGACCUUGCGCGAUUGAAUGAGCCGAUGUCGGAUUAGCUAGUUGGCGGGGUAAAGGCCCACCAAGGCGACGAUCCGUAGCUGGUCUGAGAGGAUGAUCAGCCACACUGGAACUGAGACACGGUCCAGACUCCUACGGGAGGCAGCAGUGGGGAAUAUUGGACAAUGGGCGCAAGCCUGAUCCAGCCAUACCGCGUGGGUGAAGAAGGCCUUCGGGUUGUAAAGCCCUUUUGUUGGGAAAGAAAGGCAGCAGGUUAAUACCCCGCUGUUCUGACGGUACUCAAAGAAUAAGCACCGGCUAACUUCGUG
rnacentral:rRNA from 1 species